CCCGGAGUGAUGUAGUGGUAACAUACCAAGGUGACAGUUAAACUUCUCUUCGCAGAGAGUUUAAUCCCUACGGGGGCGGAGGAGUCCCAGGUUCGAUUCCUGGCUCUGGGA